ACCGCGUGGGUCGUUUGCCAGCUGAGACCCGCUCCCUUGCACGCAAUCAGAAGUCCCUCGUCGCGCGGGCUUUCCAUGAGGGGUUUGAUGAUUUCGAUGGACGCCGCGCACAGAACUGAAAGGCCAGCCACAACCUCUUCGUANNACGGUCCGCUGCAAAUGCCCGCAGCUUGCCGUCGGUCAGUUCGCCGCGCUCUUUCAGAAGUUUCGUCAGGCGCAGAGCAGUAUCGAAGUUAUGAAUCUUGUUGGAGUCACGCGCGACCUUUUCGGCGAC
rnacentral:misc_RNA from 1 species